AUGCACGCUGGCGGCGUGCCUAAUACAUGCAAGUCGAGCGAACGGACGAGAAGCUUGCUUUUCUGAUGUUAGCGGCGGACGGGUGAGUAACACGUGGAUAACCUACCUAUAAGACUGGGAUAACUUCGGGAAACCGGAGCUAAUACCGGAUAAUAUUUUGAACCGCAUGGUUCAAAAGUGAAAGACGGUCUUGCUGUCACUUAUAGAUGGAUCCGCGCUGCAUUAGCUAGUUGGUAAGGUAACGGCUUACCAAGGCAACGAUGCAUAGCCGACCUGAGAGGGUGAUCGGCCACACUGGAACUGAGACACGGUCCAGACUCCUACGGGAGGCAGCAGUAGGGAAUCUUCCGCAGUGGGCGAAAGCCUGACGGAGCAACGCCGCGUGAGUGAUGAAGGUCUUCGGAUCGUAAAACUCUGUUAUUAGGGAAGAACAUAUGUGUAAGUAACUGUGCACAUCUUGACGGUACCUAAUCAGAAAGCCACGGCUAACUACGUG
rnacentral:rRNA from 1 species